rnacentral:tRNA from 1 species
GACCCUUAGCUCAACAGGGUAGAUCAACAGUUCCCUAAACUAAACUGUAGGUUGCAAGUUCAAUUCUCGCAGGGUUAA